GAUGAACGCUGACAGAAUGCUUAACACAUGCAAGUCAACUUGAAUUUGGGUUUUUAACUUAGAUUUGGGUGGCGGGCGGGUGAGUAACGCGUAAAGAACUUGCCUCACAGCUAGGGACAACAUUUAGAAAUGAAUGCUAAUACCUGAUAUUAUGAUUUUAAGGCAUCUUAGAAUUAUGAAAGCUAUAUGCACUGUGAGAGAGCUUUGCGUCCCAUUAGCUAGUUGGAGAGGUAACGGCUCACCAAGGCGAUGACGGGUAGCCGGCCUGAGAGGGUGAUCGGCCACAAGGGGACUGAGACACGGCCCUUACUCCUACGGGAGGCAGCAGUGGGGAAUAUUGGACAAUGGACCGAGAGUCUGAUCCAGCAAUUCUGUGUGCACGAUGAAGUUUUUCGGAAUGUAAAGUGCUUUCAGUUGGGAAGAAAGAAAUGACGGUACCAACAGAAGAAGUGACGGCUAAAUACGCGCCAGCAGCCGCGGUAAUACGUAUGUCACGAGCGUUAUCCGGAUUUAGUGGGCGUAAAGCGCGUCUAGGUGGUUAUAUAAGUCUGAUGUGAAAGUGCAGGGCUCAACUCUGUAUUGCGUUGGAAACUGUAUAACUAGAGUACUGGAGAGGUAAGCGGAACUACAAGUGUAGAGGUGAAAUUCGUAGAUAUUUGUAGGAAUGCCGAUGGGGAAGCCAGCUUACUGGACAGAUACUGACGCUGAAGCGCGAAAGCGUGGGUAGCAAACAAG
rnacentral:rRNA from 1 species